rnacentral:rRNA from 1 species
GCACUUCUUUUAGAGUAGGAGCGGCAAAACGGGUGAGGUAAACGCGUGGGAAUCUACCCAUUUCUACGGAAUAACACAGAGAAAUUUGUGCUAAUACCGUAUACGUCCUUUUAGGAGAAAGAUUUAUCGGAGAUGGAUGAGCCCGCGUUGGAUUAGCUAGUUGGUGAGGUAACGGACUCACCAAGGCGACGAUCCAUAGCUGGUCUGAGAGGAUGAUCAGCCACACUGGGACUGAGACACGGCCCAG